rnacentral:misc_RNA from 1 species
GAUGAAAACGUAGCGAAAUGCGAUAAGUAAUGUGAAUUGCAGAAUUCAGUGAAUCAUCGAAUCUUUGAACGCACCUUGCGCUCCUUGGUAUUCCGAGGAGCAUGCCUGUUUGAGUGUCAUUAAAUUCUCAACCAUUAUCAACUUUUGCUGAUAAUGGCUUGGAUGUGGGGGUCUAUUUUGCUGGCUUCUCAGAUAGUCAGCUCCCCUUAAAUGCAUUAGCCGGUGCCCCGCGUGGACUGUCUAUUGGUGUGAUAAUUAUCUACGCUAUAGACAUCUGCAAUCAUAUGGGUUUGCGCUGCUUCUAACAGUCUGUUGAUUCAGACAAUACAUGACAAUUUGACCUCAAAUCAGGUAGGACUACCCGCUGAACUUAAGCAUAUCAAUAAGCGGAGGA